rnacentral:misc_RNA from 1 species
UGACCAAGUCACGCCUGGCGUGGUGUUGGAGCUGGCCGCGGGGCCGCUCCCAAACCCAGUGGCGGUGCCGUGCGGCUCUAAGCGUAGUAAAGACCCUCGCUAUAGUCCCCGCGCGCGCGCUGGCCAUCAACCCCAACCUUCUAC